rnacentral:lncRNA from 1 species
CAGGACUCGGCGUGAAUGACUCAGCUCCGACCGGGAAUCUCCCCUCGUUCAGUGCACACGUGAACCUUCAGGGAAAUUCACAGAAAACUCGGGGAGAGUGCUGUGAGGUCAUUCGUGCUCUGCCUGGCACAUGAAUGGAAGCCAAGCGUCCACAUUCAGGCUGCCCAGGGCCGCACUCCAAACAGCCGGCUGUCGCUGACAGAUGAACACAGGUGUGUUCUUCAGGCUUCUAGACUUUGGAGGGGCCCCAUGGGUUUGCUCCUGGAGGGCACCCUCCCCGUGGGCAUCUCUCUUGGCUCCAAACAUCCCAAGGGAGGUAGAUGACUUAUUACCAGCAGGGAAAGCAGUGGUCAAUUCUUUUCUCUUUUUCAUUCAUGUUUAUUACACAAGUAAGCCUUUGUCAAAUCCAACCCAAAUUCAUUGGAAAAAAAAUUAGAAAAUCCAGACAAAAAUGAAAGUUAAAACCAGCCAUAAUCUCAUGAUUUCGAGGUAAGUAUUCUGAAGCAGAUCCUUGCAUUUUUCCUAUGGUAUAUAUACACUCACGUAUAUUUCUUUUACAGGAUUUGGAUCAUGCUAUACACCAUAUUAUAACUUGGGAUUUUCUUUCACUUAAUAGAUUGUGA